GCCAGAUCCAACUUAGCCUCCAGCUCGCUGAACAGCUCCUUAGUUAAUGAUAGAUUUGAAUUGAGGUCAGACACAGUGUUUUCAAGAGUUUCCUUUUCUCUGGUCACCUUUUGCAAUUCGUCUAAUGUACUUGAUAUUUGUGUUUCUUGUUCUUUUAAACUUGCCUCUAUUAGUUCUCUUGCCUUCGUCUCCUCUUGAAGCUUCAACUCAGCUUUCUCCAAAUCGGAAACUUUUGCAUCGAGUUCUUCUUUGGUGGCCGAAAGCAGGGUUUCUAAUGCAUUCACAUCUUCCCUCAUCUGUUCUUCGGAAGUUUUGCGCAUAACAAGUUCUUGAGAUAGUUCUUCUACUGUAGCUCCGUGAGAAGCCAGCUUCUGCUCCAAAUCCGCCACCCGUGAUUCAGAAAGAUGCAACCUGUCCUGAAGCCCAGCAAGCUCUGCCAUAGUUGUACUCAGUGCUUCCUCAGUUUGCUGAUUCUCUGCAAUUUUAUUGUAUAGGCCUUUAAGCUCUUCUUGCAAAUUAACCAUCUGAUCUUCCAUUUCCUUUGCACUCAGUUUUGCCGCUUCCAGAGUCUUCUCAAACUCUAAAGCCCUCUUGGUUUCUAACUCUGCAUGCGAACUUUUCUCACUACUGAGCUCUUCGUAUUUCCGUGCCUCAUCAGCAGAUGAGGCCAACUGCACUUCAAGCUGCUCCAUCUUCUUUCUCGAGCUGUCAAGCUCAGAUGACAACUGAUCAAAUGAUUCCUUCACACCAAUAAGCUCCUUGUGCUUCACAUCUACAGCCCCAAAUGCUUCUUCGAGAGACUGAAGCUGCAAAUUAUACUUUUCCUCGGCUUCUGUGAUCUUCUCUUUCAUCCUCUCCUGCUCAAGUUCAAGUUCUUCACAAUGCUUUUCCAUUCUCUCAAGUUUCUCAUUUGCUAAAUCAGCCUUGGAUUUCAAAAGGAGAUUCUCAGACUCAGACUGUUGUA
rnacentral:misc_RNA from 1 species